GAGUUUGAUCCUGGCUCAGGAUGAACGCUGGCGGUAUGCUUAACACAUGCAAGUCGAACGGAGUGCUUCGGCACUUAGUGGCGGACGGGUGAGUAACGCGUGAGAAUCUGGCUUCGGGUUCGGGACAACAGUGGGAAACUGCUGCUAAUACCGGAUGUGCCGCAAGGUAAAAGAUUAAUUGCCCGAAGAUGAGUUCGCGUCCGAUUAGCUAGUUGGUGUGGUAAGAGCGCACCAAGGCGUCGAUCGGUAGCUGGUCUGAGAGGACGAUCAGCCACACUGGGACUGAGACACGGCCCAGACUCCUACGGGAGGCAGCAGUGGGGAAUUUUCCGCAAUGGGCGAAAGCCUGACGGAGCAAUACCGCGUUUAGUUUAGUUUGGCUCUUGGGUUGUAAACCUCUUUUCUCAGGGAAGAACAAAAUGACGGUACCUGAGGAAUCAGCAUCGGCUAACUCCGUGCCAGCAGCCGCGGUAAUACGGAGGAUGCAAGCGUUAUCCGGAAUGAUUGGGCGUAAAGCGUCCGCAGGUGGCUUAUCAAGUCGAUUGUCAAAGGUCCUGGCUCAACUGGGAACAGGCAGUGGAAACUGAAAAGCUAGAGUGCGGUAGGGGUAGAGGGAAUUCCCGGUGUAGCGGUGAAAUGCGUAGAGAUUGGGAAGAACACCAGUGGCGAAAGCGCUCUGCUAGACCGCAACUGACACUCAUGGACGAAAGCUAGGGGAGCGAAUGGGAUUAGAUACCCCAGUAGUCCUAGCCGUAAACGAUGGAUACUAGGCGUUGAGAGUAUCGACCCUCUCAGUGCCGUAGCUAACGCGUUAAGUAUCCCGCCUGGGGAGUACGCACGCAAGUGUGAAACUCAAAGGAAUUGACGGGGGCCCGCACAAGCGGUGGAGUAUGUGGUUUAAUUCGAUGCAACGCGAAGAACCUUACCAGGGCUUGACAUGUCCGGAACCGCUGGGAAACCAGUGGGUGCCUUCGGGAGCCGGAACACAGGUGGUGCAUGGCUGUCGUCAGCUCGUG
rnacentral:rRNA from 1 species